rnacentral:rRNA from 1 species
AUUGAACGCUGGCGGCAUGCUUUACACAUGCAAGUCGAACGGUAACAGGCCGCAAGGUGCUGACGAGUGGCGAACGGGUGAGUAAUGCAUCGGAACGUGCCCAGUCGUGGGGGAUAACGCAGCGAAAGCUGUGCUAAUACCGCAUACGAUCUAUGGAUGAAAGCGGGGGACCGUAAGGCCUCGCGCGAUUGGAGCGGCCGAUGUCAGAUUAGGUAGUUGGGGGGGUAAAGGCCUACCAAGCCGACGAUCUGUAGCUGGUCUGAGAGGACGACCAGCACCACUGGGACAGAGACACGGCCCAGACUCCUACGGGAGGCAGCAGUGGGGAAUUUUGGACAAUGGGCGCAAGCCUGAUCCAGCAAUGCCGCGUGCAGGAAGAAGGCCUUCGGGUUGUAAACUGCUUUUGUACGGAACGAAACGGUCUGGGUUAAUACCCUGGGCUAAUGACGGUACCGUAAGAAUAAGCACCGGCUAACUACGUGCCAGCCGCCGCGGUAA